AACCAAUAUUUUUGGUGACUCAUAAUAACUUUACGGAUCACAUUAUGUGACAUAUCAUUCAAGUUUCUGACCUAUCAGCUUUAGACGGUAGGGUAUUGGCCUACCGUGGCUAUGACGGGUAACGGGGAAUUAGGGUUCGAUUCCGGAGAGGGAGCCUGAGAAACGGCUACCACAUCUAAGGAAGGCAGCAGGCGCGCAAAUUACCCAAUCCUAAUACAGGGAGGUAGUGACAAGAAAUAACAAUACAGGACCUUACGGUUUUGUAAUUGGAAUGAGUUAAGUAUAAACCCCUUAACAAGUAUCAAUUGGAGGGCAAGUCUGGUGCCAGCAGCCGCGGUAAUUCCAGCUCCAAUAGCGUAUAUUAAAGUUGUUGCAGUUAAAAAGCUCGUAGUUAAUUUUCUGUUAAUUUUUAUAUACAAUACUACGGUAUUUAUAUAAUAUUAACAUAAUUCAUAUUACUUUUUAGUAUAUGAAACUUUACUUUGAGAAAAUUAGAGUGCUUAAAGCAGGCUAUUGCCUUGAAUACUCCAGCAUGGAAUAAUAUUAAGGAUUUUUAUUCUUCUUAUUGGUUCUAGAAUAAAAAUAAUGAUUAAUAGGGACAGUUGGGGGCAUUUGUAUUUAACAGUCAGAGGUGAAAUUCUUAGAUUUGUUAAAGACAAACUACUGCGAAAGCAUUUGCCAAGGAUGUUUUCAUUAAUCAAGAACGAAAGUUAGGGGAUCGAAGACGAUCAGAUACCGUCGUAGUCUUAACCAUAAACUAUGCCAACUAGAGA
rnacentral:rRNA from 2 species